rnacentral:rRNA from 1 species
UAUUGCUGGACUACUGGUACGACUUUUUCUAGAAGUAAUGUUAGGAGUAGGUUGGCAAAGAAUGCCUCCUUUCGAGAGGGUCCGAGUGAUCAGUGAGAUGUCACUCUGAAAAAAUUAGAAUUUUAACCUUCUGUCAGAAUCUACAAACAAAGGGAACGGUCUCUCAAGUAGACAAUUUUCAUGGAACGUAGGCUUCUCAAAAAGUAAUGGAGAAUGUAAAAGUUUCUUUGGGUUGAAUGGAGAUUGUCUCUCGAGUGCAAAGGCAGAAGAGAGUUUGACUACAAGAUCCACUCAUUGAGCAAGGAUGACAAUCGGCCUUAGUGAUCCAAUGAUCACUGGUGCCAAGUUGAAGGCCGUCGCUCAACGGAUAA